rnacentral:rRNA from 1 species
CUACGGUGAAUACGUUCCCGGACCUUGUACACACCGCCCGUCAAGCCAUGGAAGCUGGGUGUACCUAAAGUCGGUAACCGCAAGGAGCCGCCUAGGGUAAACUAGUAACUGGGCU